rnacentral:rRNA from 1 species
UACGUAGGGGGCAAGCGUUAUCCGGAUUUACUGGGUGUAAAGGGAGCGUAGACGGCCAUUCAAGCCAGAUGUGAAAGCCCGGGGCUCAACCCCGGGACUGCAUUUGGAACUGUAUGGCUGGAGUGUCGGAGAGGCAGGCGGAAUUCCUAGUGUAGCGGUGAAAUGCGUAGAUAUUAGGAGGAACACCAGUGGCGAAGGCGGCCUGCUGGACGAUGACUGGCGUUGAGGCUCGAAAGCGUGGGGAGCAAACAGG